UCUCUCGUCAAUGUCUCACUGAAUCUCGAGCUCUCUCAUCUCUCUGUGACUCACUGGUUCUCGCACUCAGUCGCCCCCGUGCGCCUCUCCUGCGCUCGUCGUCGCCGGAUGGCAGAAGAAGAUCCCGGGACUAGUCAUCGUCGUCGCUCCCCGUCUUGUCAUCGUCUUGCACUCAGUAGCGCCUUCCUUGUGCUCAUCGUUGCCGGCGACAGAAGAAGCAGGUCCAGGAAGGAGCACGGUUCUGUCCCUCAUAGAGAGAUUCUAUGACUCUUCAUCAGGACAAAUUUUGCUAGAUGGGAAUGAUGUUAAGAAUUUGACGUUAAAAUGAUUGAGGCAGCAAAUAGGACUAGUGAGCCAAGAACCGGCUUUAUUUGCAACAACAAUGAAAAAAAACAUACUCAAGUCUAAGAAGAAGCUGUAAGAGUAGCCAAUGCUCAUUCUUUCAUUAUCAAACUUCCAGAAAGUUAUAAAACACAGAUGAGACGACAAAUGCGUUGGACUCCAAGUCAGAAAAGCUUGUGCAAGAAGCACUUGAUAAGUUUAUGAUUGGUAGAACAACACUUGUGAUUGCACACCGCCUUUCCACGAUUCGCAAAGCUGACCUUGUUGCAAUACUUCAGCAAGGAAAUGUAUCGGAACUCAUGAUGAGCUUUUUGCCAAAGGCGAAAAUGGAGUCUAUGCCAAGCUUAUCAGGAUGCAAGAGGCUGCCCAUGAAACUGCCAUGAAUAAUGCUAGAAAGAGUAGUGCAAGAGGCACCAACAACCGUAGCAGAACACAUCAAAUGGAGAAGAACCAUAAAUCAUUGAGCCGGCACAACUACAUCAUCGCAGGAGAAACAUAUCCAAGGCCACAAAUUCAAUCUGUAAGAUGCAAGUCCACCAUUUCGUCUAUUCUCCUUUUCACAUUCUCUAACAACAACAACAGCACCAACAACAAUGAUGAAAGGGUAAAAAAAAUGAGAGAAGAGAUAAAGGUUUUAAAAGGUACCAUUGUAGAACUAGGUGUUGAAGUCAUCAGUGAUAGUAGUCCUCAGCAAACUUCCCGCCUUUUGGUUCUCUGGCGAUAACAACCACCAGUGAAUAAAAUUUUCUUCCAAUCUUUUUGUGAAGUCACGGAGUCCAGUCUUUGUCGGAGACCGCGUCCUCGCACUAUGCAACGUUGGCUCGUUGUGGCUGAUGGAGGUCGCGACGAUGCUGAUGGUUGGUGAAUUGAAGUCGCUGCGACUGAUGGAGGUCGCGCGACAGUGCUAACCGCAUUCUUUUUAUUUAUUAUUGUUUUCAAAGUAAUUAACCUUUAUAUAGAUUGAAUUUUGUAAAUUGCAAGGUGAGUAUAGACUUCGUUAGUGAUUGGUUGUUGAUCCAUAUACUUCACCAAUUGAGUAGCGAAUUCUUCCCACAAAAUGCAUCCAAUGUUACUUUUUUCCUGAUUCAAAAUAGUGGUUCCAUAUAAAAGCACUUAAAAGAUAUUACAUUAAAACGAAAAGCAUGUAUAAAUUUUUGUACUCCCAACCACAUUCCCAAACUUCACAUACAACUCAACUCAGGCAUCUUUAUUCCAUAAAAAUUUAUAUGAUAAUGAAACAAUA